CCUACGGGUGGCAGCAGUGAGGAAUAUUGGUCAAUGGACGAGAGUCUGAACCAGCCAAGUAGCGUGAAGGAUGACUGCCCUCUGGGUUGUAAACUUCUUUUAUAUGGGAAUAAAAUGUUCCACGUGUGGGAUUUUGUAUGUACCAUAUGAAUAAGGAUCGGCUAACUCCGUGCCAGCAGCCGCGGUAAUACGGAGGAUCCGAGCGUUAUCCGGAUUUAUUGGGUUUAAAGGGAGCGUAGGUGGAUUGGUAAGUCAGUUGUGAAAGUUUGCGGCUCAACCGUAAAAUUGCAGUUGAAACUGGCAGUCUUGAGUACAGGAGAGGUGGGCGGAAUUCGUGGUGUAGCGGUGAAAUGCUUAGAUAUCACGAAGAACUCCGAUUGCGAAGGCAGUUCACUGGACUGCAACUGACACUGAGGCUCGAAAGUGUGGGUAUCAAACAGGAUUAGAUACCCGUGUAGUC
rnacentral:rRNA from 1 species